rnacentral:tRNA from 1 species
GCACCUGUCGGCCAGCGGUUCAGGCUUCGAGCUUCCCAAGCUCGCGACCCGGGUUCGAAUCCCGGCGGGUGCAC